AUUAAGAAGGCUGUGUCGGUCUUUUGACAGUUCUUGGAGAGAACAGUGUCAAUACCAAUAUGGUUUUUGUAGGUUAUGUUAAUGUAAUUAUUGCAUUAAAAUUCAAAUAAUAUUCCCUUUCUAUUCAUUACUAUUAUCCAUGGCAUUGCCAAAUGAAGCUAAUUUUCCUGAUAAUCUCCUAGGUUUAGACUGUCUCAACAAGAUGCUAGAAAAUGUCUGUGCUGUACAGGAGCAGCACUCGCCAAUCCUUCAUAAAUUAUUGAAUAGUUCAAAAACAUCAAUGGGUGCAAUCUGCAGCAUCGACAACUGCCCUGAGGCAUGUCGAAUCUGUCUCUCUCUUCGAUGGAGGCCAUGGAAAUAGAAAGGCUGCUGCAGUAUUGCAGAGAAAUAGAUGUGGCCCUCAUCCUCAGCUACCCUCUGGGGUUCUGGGGCAGCACCAGUAUAACUCAACUCUAGAGAUGAAUGGUGAUAUCAGGCCUUGCGUUGAAGUAAAGCAAGAAACAGAGGUCGACAAGCACCCCUACUCCCAACCCCAACUCCACUCCAAGCGCCAAGCAGGCCAAGAAUGUUCCCAUGGCUGGUACCACAUCCCUUUCUGUUAACAGACGUUAGGUUGUGAAUUCAAUCUGUGUAAAAGCAGUGUUAAUUGGUGUAAAAAGUUUAAAUGCAACUACAGUCAUGCUGUUAAGUAAAACAAGUGAGUAAAAGUGUUCAUCAACACUUGGGAGAUGAGUGAACAUCAAGGAAGAAGCACUUGUGCUUGGGUACAAAUUGGCAAUCUGCGGUGUUUUCUGGUCUAAGAACCAAUUGCAUUUAUUCUUAAAUUUUCUUUAGAAAAUUGCUAAAAUUUAAGUUAGCAUGCAUGUUAGAAAACCUAAUAAAAUAAAUCAAAUUUAAAUUACUCAUAAUAUACUGUUAUUGUUGGAAAGCCUAUUUAACAGUCUAUAAUAAAAACACAACCAUUUUCAUUUACUUGAUAUGUGCUAAUUUAUGUGAAACUUUGCAUUUUUUAUAAAAUAUGCCAUGACAAUUUUAGGUAACCAACAAAAAUGGCUUAAAAAAGAUUAAAAUAUAAGUUCAAUUACACAAAAAUCAAGUAAAAGUUCAAUACGAUUUUGUAUGAAAGUACUAUGUUCUCUACCAAGUUCUAUGAAGUUGUAACUCAACCUAUAUUGGGAUAUAAUAUUUGCUAAAUACAUUAGCCACACAAAACACAGCCAUAGCAGAACAGUAACAAAACCAAACAUGCAAUAGAGCUAAUAAAGGUGCUUGCAAAGAUGUCAUACUCUUAUUAAAGGAUAGUGAUGGAAAACGUAGAAAUGAUUAAGGCAGUCUGUGCUAUUGAAGUCAUACUGAUCACUGAUUGGUAGAUCUCUAGCCAGUCAUAAUAAAGCUUUACCCACUUCCCUCCUCAAACUUGUCUUAAUAAGUGGAUGCGAGUCACUAACUCAGUCAAUUUCAGUCUCAUACCUCCUGACUAAACAUGGCUCUUUAGCAAAAUAACUAGGGUUGUAAUUUGUUUCUUUUUGGAUAAGCAACAGACUUAAAAGGAUUGUAGGGAGGAAAGUACUGGGAGAAAUUAGAAGUUUCAAGCCCUGAUAUCCAAUAACUUUCAGCUUACCUAUCUGCUCUAUAGGUCAACUUCAGUGAAAGAAUGUAAUGACAAUACUAUAAUUAAAUAUGAGAGUCGUUCAGAAAGUAAGUUGUUGUAAUGAAUUAAAUAUACAGGUUACUUUCAAGGCUUUUUAUUUGGUCAUUGCUUUUAAUGAUAGUAUAACUUAAUUAACGUGCAUUUUAUGCCUGUCACUUGGUAGUUGGUGGGCCCAUGUUUCCACCCUUCCCCUUGAAUUGGUAAUUGAAUCAUACUUUUUAUCAUUAAUACUAUACCUGUUGUUUAAUUUCCACAAUAUAAUUUAGAAAAUUAAAUUACUUUAAUUACAAAAUUAUAAUAUUAACUGUUACAAAUUGGACUUUGACUGUUGGGGUGGCUGGUUUCGGUGUCACUUAUAGUGUUACAUUCUUUUACUAUUUUUUGAACGGUAUUGUUAAAGUUUUGAAUAUGUUUUAAUUUGUUAUUGUAAGUUAUUGUAUUGUUAGUAGUUAUUAUUUGUUUUAUAAAAUAUUACAGAUAUACAUCAUUAUAUUAUUUCUCACUCGGAUGUUUUUUUUUCCUGGAAGAGCAUAGUAUUCUCUGUAAGGAACAGUUUAGUUUCCGAAAAGGAAUAUCAACAAUUGAUGCAGUCACCCAAUUGAUUGACAUUGCGGUAGAGGGCCUUGACAGGAGAAUGCGUACGCUAAGCGUCUUUCUUGACCUGUCUAAGGCAUUUGACUGCGUAGAUCACCAGAUCCUUAUUUCCAAAUUACACAAAUGUGGCAUACGAGGCAUACCACUGAUGUGGCUUGAGUCGUACCUCAGCAACCGUUACUAUCAAGUUUAUUUAAAUGGCGUCUCAUCAAAAUAUGCCUCGGACGUAAAAUAUGGCGUCCCACAGGGAUCUAUUCUUGGCCCUGUGCUUUUUUUAGUUUAUAUAAAUGACCUUAGGUCAUCUAUAUCAUUUGGUCAAAUGAUUCAGUACGCAGACGAUACUAUCCUCUGUUUCCAGGGAAAAAGCAAAGAGUCUUUGGAAAUUGAUUGCUUUGUAAAUUAAAAUUCAUGUCUUCAAUUUUUAUCAAAUGUGAAUCUACAAACAAAUGAUUCCAAAUCAAACUUCAUCUAUUUUUCAGGGCGCAGGGUGCCCCAUGAACCCGGUCCAUCAGUUGUACUGAAUGAUAUGGAAUUCACAUUGAUAAAGGUUUGUCCUGGGAAAAACAUGUGGACGUUGUCUGUGCUAGAAUGUCCUCAGGCAUCUAUGCUUUAAGGAAAUUGGCAGAAUUUUGUGGAAUACACCUACUGAAAGUGGCCUAUUAUGGCCUAGUGUACCCACAUAUGUCAUAUGGCAUAACAUUGUGGGGAGGGUGUGCAAAUGUCCAUUUUCAGAAGUGUUUCGUCCUUCAGAAAAAAGCAGUACGAAUCAUGGCAAAAAUAGGAACUAGAGAAUCCUGUAGGGAUUAUUUUAGAGAACUUGAUUUGCUAAUCUUCCCAUCCCUCUACAUGUACAAAACCGUCUUAUAACGUCGUUACAAAAUGUGAGGUAAUGCGGGGCAGGGACGUUCAUGAGUACAACACCAGAGGGCGGGAUGCAUUUACAUCUGCGCAGCACAGGCUCCAGGCUUACACUAGAGUUCUUGAUAUCUGCAGAACAUGUGAAAGAUCUCUGAUUACGUUACAUUUCCCUAACCUUAUGAUAGAUUGGUUUUAAUUAAAUGUCAUAUAAUAAAAUUAUGUAUAAGUCAAGUUUUUAUUUUUUAUUUUCUAUUUGAAGCUUUUUAGUUCUUUAUGUUUUUAUUUGUUUUAUUUUUAUCUUACAAAACCAUUGUGAUUAUUGUGAUUAUUAUUACUUGGUACAAAUCUAGAUUAGAACUGGACAGCACGCACAGACGUUGCUCUAUGUGCAGUCAACUUUCAUACGGUUGACAAGUAUAACUGUUGAAAAUAAAUUGAUUUGAAUUGAGUUGGCUUGACAAGGUCAUCUGUAACCACAGACAGUUUGGCUAUUUUGCUUAUUGUCAUGAAUAGUAGUUCGUUCUUCACCAAACAAUUGACACAAUUUUUAACUUCAAUAUAGCUCAAAAUGUCUUCUCCAUAUACAAAAGACCGUUAACAAUGAAUUUCCACUAGUUGUAUUUUCUUUGCUAAUAGAAAAUCUAAUGCCAUUACGUAUUUUACAGUCGGCGGGACAGAUGAUUGCAGCGGCCAUUUUGAACACUAGUUUAAAGUACUCAGAAUAGUGACCUUACUGUGACACUGCCACAUGUGCAUGAAGCUACACAGAUCACACCGCUACCCUUAUCCAUGCAACUCAUUUUCUGAAUGACCCUUUCUCUACAUUCAGUUUUAAAUUCCUAAUGAUUAAUAACUAGCGUGGGUUACCACAUUUAAAUGCAAAUAUCACAAAAACUAUGCAAAUUAAUGUCCAACAGAACAACAGAGAAUACCACACUACGCAAUGGUAUUGCACAGAAUCAUCAUUCAAGCCGAUGUUUGUACUGAACAGAUAAUUAAACUUAGGGACAAAAGUCAACUCACUGUUGGU